rnacentral:rRNA from 1 species
ACAGAGGUGGCUAGCGUUGUUCGGAAUUACUGGGCGUAAAGGGAGCGCAGGCGGCUAAACAAGUCUGGAGUGCAAGCCCGGGGCUCAACCCCGGAAUUGCUUUGGAUACUGUUUGGCUUGAGUACGUCAGAGGUGAGCGGAAUUCCAGGUGUAGCGGUGAAAUGCGUAGAGAUCGGGAGGAACAUCCGUGGCGAAGGCGACUACCUGGACCAGCACUGACACUGAGGCACGAAAGCGUGGGGAGCAAACAGGA